UUUGAGCAUGAGGGAUAGGAGCGGCAUCCUUUUAUGAAAUGCAAUGGAAUAAAAGAUACAGCGGAUAGCGCGACCUCGC
rnacentral:sRNA from 1 species